AUGCCCCACCGUAAAAUAUUAACUUACACUAACAACGCCAGGGUAUUACGAGCCUCAGCUUAAAACCCAAAGGACUUGACGGUGUCCCACCCAACUAGAGGAGCCUGUUCUAUAAUCGAUAACCCCCGAUAUACCCAACCCCACUUUGCAAAUCAGCCUGUAUACCUCCGUCGCAAGCUUACCAUAUGAAUGCUAAUAGUAAGUUUAAUGGUUAUACACCAACACGUCAGGUCAAGGUGCAGCUCAUGAUGGGGCAAGCAAUGGGCUACAAUUUCUAACAUAGAAUACACAGAAUGCUAUAUGAAACACAGCAUGAAGGUGGAUUUAACAGUAAAAAUGAAAUAACGUGUCAUUUUUAACAAGGCCCUGGGACGUGUACACACCGCCCGUCACCCUCUUCAACUAUACCCAACAUGUCUAUUACAAUCCAAUAUAAUCUAGAAGAGGCAAGUCGUAACAUGGUAAGUGUACCGGAAGGUGCGCUUGGAUUAC
rnacentral:rRNA from 1 species